UGGGCUUGACAUGUCCGGAAGUCUGCAGAGAUGCGGAAGUGCCCUUCGGGGAAUCGGA
rnacentral:rRNA from 1 species